rnacentral:rRNA from 1 species
GAUGAACGCUGGCGGCGUGCCUAAUACAUGCAAGUCGAGCGAACAGACGAGGAGCUUGCUCCUCUGACGUUAGCGGCGGACGGGUGAGUAAAACGUGGAUAACCUACCUAUAAGACUGGGAUAACUUCGGGAAACCGGAGCUAAUACCGGAUAAUAUAUUGAACCGCAUGGUUCAAUAGUGAAAGACGGUUUUGCUGUCACUUAUAGAUGGAUCCGCGCCGCAUUAGCUAGUUGGUAAGGUAACGGCUUACCAAGGCAACGAUGCGUAGCCGACCUGAGAGGGUGAUCGGCCACACUGGAACUGAGACACGGUCCAGACUCCUACGGGAGGCAGCAGUAGGGAAUCUUCCGCAAUGGGCGAGAGCCUGACGGAGCAACGCCGCGUGAGUGAUGAAGGUCUUCGGAUCGUAAAACUCUGUUAUUAGGGAAGAACAAAUGUGUAAGUAACUAUGCACGUCUUGACGGUACCUAAUCAGAAAGCCACGGCUAACUACGGG